UCAAAUGCAAAGAAGAGGAUAAGUAGAUCCGGAAAAUGCCGUUCAGAGAACUGCCGGUUGGUGCGAGGCAGCGGACAUUCGAAUCAAAAUAAUCACCUCUGAGCAGGCCCCCGAAAUAAAAGUAGACGGGCCCGGGAUUCUACCGUUACAAAGAAGCAUCGUUGUUGGACGAUGGCUAAGAGGACGUUUUUUGUAAACGUUAAUCAGGGUGGUAACGCGGAGUGGACUCCGUCCCUUAU
rnacentral:ncRNA from 1 species